CUCUGCAAAACUUGUCAUAUUUUUUCCCUCUCAAAACAUGCAUUUUUAAACUUCUGAAACCUAUUCAGACAUUCCAUUUCUUCAUCCCAUCUGAAUUCCCGCAUCUUUCUCUCGAUGUCGUCCAUUUUCAAAACCUACCAUCCAGCCAUCAGCCCUCCUCUGCUCUGGUUCUCGUGUCGUCAUCGCACAUCAACUCAGCACCUCGCGUUUCCAUCACCCAUCCUUUGCCCAGCACCCCGCGUCACCGUCACCACUCCCUCUGCGCCCAACAUAACAUCAUUUUUUCCAUGGCUUGAAAACUGAUAAGGUUUAAGAUACGGGGUUAUCAGUUAAGAUCCGAGAAAAAAUAAUUUUUAGGGGCAAAUUUCUAUUUAUACUGGGUUUUUAUGAUGGAAGGGCAGCUUGUGGGCACUGAGAUUCAUGGCUUCCAUACAUUGCAAGAUUAGUAUGUUCAGCAUAUUAA